AUACAUGCAAGUCGAACGCGUCUCCGUUAAUGAUUUUAGGUGCUUGCACUUGAAAGAUUUAACAUUGAGACGAGUGGCGAACUGGUGAGUAACACGUGGGUAACCUGCCCUUGAAGUAGGGGAUAACACUUGGAAACAGGUGCUAAUACCGUAUAACAACCAAAACCACCUGGUUUUGGUUUAAAAGACGGCUUCGGCUGUCACUUUAGGAUGGACCCGCGGCGUAUUAGCUUGUUGGUAAGGUAACGGCCUACCAAGGCGAUGAUACGUAGCCGACCUGAGAGGGUAAUCGGCCACAUUGGGACUGAGACACGGCCCAAACUCCUACGGGAGGCAGCAGUAGGGAAUCUUCCACAAUGGACGAAAGUCUGAUGGAGCAACGCCGCGUGAGUGAUGAAGGGUUUCGGCUCGUAAAACUCUGUUGUUGGAGAAGAACAGGUGUCAGAGUAACUGUUGACAUCUUGACGGUAUCCAACCAGAAAGCCACGGCUAACUACGUGCCAGCAGCCGCGGUAAUACGUAGGUGGCAAGCGUUGUCCGGAUUUAUUGGGCGUAAAGCGAGCGCAGGCGGUUUUUUAGGUCUGAUGUGAAAGCCUUCGGCUUAACCGGAGAAGUGCAUCGGAAACCGGGAGACUUGAGUGCAGAAGAGGACAGUGGAACUCCAUGUGUAGCGGUGAAAUGCGUAGAUAUAUGGAAGAACACCAGUGGCGAAGGCGGCUGUCUGGUCUGUAACUGACGCUGAGGCU
rnacentral:rRNA from 1 species